UUUUUCCCAUAAUUCUUUGCAACGUGCUUGGCCGACGCUAACAAUAGGCGCUAAGUUAUACCCGGCCGAGCUGUCCAGCAAUAAAGACGUGCUUAGUGUGUGAAGGGGGUAUCGUGUUAGAAGCCUGUGUGGCAUGUUUUAGUUUCACAAGUUCAGCAUUUGACGCGGACACGGAUAGCUGACCGUGUGUCAUAUUGUUGAUGUUGAGAAGAUGAUGAUGUUAUGGUGAAGUCGAUGACGAUGCGAUGUUCAUGUUGAUGACGACGAUGAUGUUAUGAUGUCGAUGACUACGAUGAUGAUGAUGGUCAUGUCGAUGAUGAUGGUGUAGAUGAUGUCGUUCAUGGUGAAGUCGAUGACGAUGCGAUGUUCAUGUUGAUGACGACGAUGAUGUUAUGGUGAUGACGACGAUGAUGAUGGUCAUGUCGAUGAUGAUGAAGUAGAUGAUUAUUAUGGUGAUGACGAUGAUGUCUAUUAUGAUUAUGGUGUUGUAGGCGAUGAUGUUGACAAUAGUGUCAAUGAUUAUGAUGGCGAUGGUGAUGAUGAUGAUUGUGGUGACGAAACUACUCUAGUUGUGGUUGUCCGUAGUUGGUCCAGGACUACAGCCCCGGAGAUUCGGACACUCUUCUAAUUUAUUUUUGGUCAUUUGUAUAAACAUAAUAUUUUUUCUUGUUGAGUGAAAGGUGUGUGAGUGUUUGUGUGGUUUAGUGUUUAUAUUUCUGUCUUUUCUUUCUUUCUCUUAUUUUUUUUGUUAUUAAAUUUUGUUAAAUUU
rnacentral:sRNA from 1 species